rnacentral:lncRNA from 1 species
CCCGAUCCAGGAAAUAUUACCUACUACUAGCACAGAGUUGUUAGCAACUAUGACCUGCUACUAAUACUGAGAUGGAGAACGUCAACGUGCCUGCUGACCCUGCACAUGACGCAUGGUAUCCAAGUGGGCUGUGUCCUGCCACAUUCAGGAAAUUUGAGGUGCAACCCUUGUAGGAAAUCAGGAGGAACAUGUUAGAUAUUUACCACUUGAUGAGACCCACCAGCGUGGAAAUGGUGCUGACAAGCCAAGGAAAAUAAUCAUGGUUUCCCUGUCCAGUUACAAGAAGCCUGGUGUAAAUAGCUUGUUUGGUCCAGUUGCACCCAACAAAGGGCAACUACCAUGCUGUAAUGAAACUUGAUGGUAUCAGUUUACACCAACGCUAAACUACAUAUACAGCUCCCAAUACAGUGUGCUUUGAGAAGGGAGAGCAACUAUGCCCUGUACGUUUCUGGAAAGAAGAAGUGUUGAGAAGAAGAGUUCUGUGUUGAAGUCAGCAUUGACAUCCUGAGUAGUGAAAAGAUCAGCAGGGAGUAGCAUCAGUUCGCUACUGUGUGGUGGGACAGUGUUUCUCCCUAUACUCAUGGACAGUACUGUACAUCUAAACAUAUGAUUCAUAUUAUAUAUUGUUUCAUAAUGUGAGGUGUGUUUUUUUCAUUCAAAAUAUCAAUUAUCAUAUAUGGUGAAUUUAGCAUCUUACAAAUAUACUGUGCAUGGAAUUUCUUCACUGACACUGUUUUCAGCAUUUUGAGGCAAAACUCUUUUCAUGUGUUACAUUUAUGUUUAUUGUUUCCUCAACAAUAAAGAACUAGCAAAAUGA